rnacentral:rRNA from 1 species
CGCUUAGGCGUGUGACUGCGUACCUUUUGUAUAAUGGGUCAGCGACUUAUAUUCUGUAGCAAGGUUAACCGAAUAGGGGAGCCGAAGGGAAACCGAGUCUUAACUGGGCGUUAAGUUGCAGGGUAUAGACCCGAAACCCGGUGAUCUAGCCAUGGGCAGGUUGAAGGUUGGGUAACACUAACUGGAGGACCGAACCGACUAAUGUUGAAAAAUUAGCGGAUGACUUGUGGCUGGGGGUGAAAGGCCAAUCAAACCGGGAGAUAGCUGGUUCUCCCCGAAAGCUAUUUAGGUAGCGCCUCGUGAAUUCAUCUCCGGGGGUAGAGCACUGUUUCGGCAAGGGGGUCAUCCCGACUUACCAACCCGAUGCAAACUGCGAAUACCGGAGAAUGUUAUCACGGGAGACACACGGCGGGUGCUAACGUCCGUCGUGAAGAGGGAAACAACCCAGACCGCCAGCUAAGGUCCCAAAGUCAUGGUUAAGUGGGAAACGAUGUGGGAAGGCCCAGACAGCCAGGAUGUUGGCUUAGAAGCAGCCAUCAUUUAAAGAAAGCGUAAUAGCUCACUGGUCGAGUCGGCCUGCGCGGAAGAUGUAACGGGGCUAAACCAUGCACCGAAGCUGCGGCAGCGACGCUUAUGCGUUGUUGGGUAGGGGAGCGUUCUGUAAGCCUGUGAAGGUGUGCUGUGAGGCAUGCUGGAGGUAUCAGAAGUGCGAAUGCUGACAUAAGUAACGAUAAAGCGGGUGAAAAGCCCGCUCGCCGGAAGACCAAGGGUUCCUGUCCAACGUUAAUCGGGGCAGGGUGAGUCGACCCCUAAGGCGAGGCCGAAAGGCGUAGUCGAUGGGAAACAGGUUAAUAUUCCUGUACUUGGUGUUACUGCGAAGGGGGGACGGAGAAGGCUAUGUUGGCCGGGCGACGGUUGUCCCGGUUUAAGCGUGUAGGCUGGUUUUCCAGGCAAAUCCGGAAAAUCAAGGCUGAGGCGUGAUGACGAGGCACUACGGUGCUGAAGCAACAAAUGCCCUGCUUCCAGGAAAAG